UACGGAGGGGGCUAGCGUUGUUCGGAAUUACUGGGCGUAAAGCGCACGUAGGCGGCCUUGCAAGUUAGAGGUGAAAGCCCGGGGCUCAACUCCGGAAUUGCCUUUAAAACUGCAUCGCUAGAAUUGUGGAGAGGUAAGUGGAAUUCCGAGUGUAGAGGUGAAAUUCGUAGAUAUUCGGAAGAACACCGGUGGCGAAGGCGACCCGCUGGCCAGUAACUGACGCUGAGACGCGAAAGCGUGGGGAGCAAACAGG
rnacentral:rRNA from 1 species